GAUGAAGAACGUAGCGAAAUGCGAUAAGUAAUGUGAAUUGCAGAAUUCAGUGAAUCAUCGAAUCUUUGAACGCACCUUGCGCCCUUUGGCUAUUCUGAAGGGCAUGCCUGUUUGAGUAUCGUGAACACCUCAACUCUCAUGGUCUGCCAUGAUGAGCUUGGACUUUGGGGGUCUUGCUGGCCUACUGUCAGCUCCUCUCAAAUGAAUCAGCUUACCAGUGUUUGGUGGCACCACAGGUGUGAUAACUAUCUACGCUUGUGGUUUUCUGCCAGGUAACCUCCAGUGAUGGAGGUUUGCUGGAGCUCACAAAUGUCUCUCCUCAGCGAGGACAGCUUUUUGAACGUUUGAUCUCAAAUCAGGUAGGACUACCCGCUGAACUUAAGCAUAUCAAUAAGCGGAGGA
rnacentral:misc_RNA from 1 species